rnacentral:rRNA from 1 species
GUUCGAUUAUGGCUCAGAUUGAACGCUGGCGGGAUGCCCCCACGGCAUGCAAGUCGAACGGCAGCGGACUUCCGGUCUGGUGGCGAGUGGCGAGGCAGGUGAAGUAAUAUCCGGAACGUGCUGUUAGCAGGACAACUACGCGAAAGCGUAGCUAAUACCUUACCUUCGGGAAAGCGGGGAUUUUCGGGCCUCGCACUUAUCGACGACGAUAUCCGGAUUAGCCUGGAUCGGUGGGGUAACGGCUCACCAAGGCGACGAUCCGUAGCUGGUUUGAAGGACGACCAGCCACUGGGACUGAGACUUACGGCCCAGACUCCUACGGGAGGCGGCAGUGGGAAUUUUGGACAAUGGGAAACCUGAUCAGCCGUCUCCCGCGUGUGCGAUGAGGCCUUCGGGUUGUAGCUGCUGGCAGAGGAAAAACGGCACGGGAUAAUACCCGUCUGACGGCAGUACAAGAAUAAGCACCGGCUAACUACGAAACUGGCGGCAGCAAAAGCGAUAAGCCGCGUAGGAAUUGCAGCGAUUGUCCGGGAAUUACUGGGCGUAAAGCGUGCGCGAGCGUUCGGAAAGAAGACGGCGAAAUCCCAGAGCAACGGAACUGCAUUUUUAACUACCGAGCUAGAGAGUGUGUCAGGGAGGUGGAAUUCCGCGUGUAGCAGUGAAAUGCGUAGAUAUGCGGAGGAACACCGAUGUGAAGGCAGCCUCCUGGGAUAACAUGGUAGCUCAUACAGCGUGAGGAGCUAAACGGGAUUAAAUACCCACCAGUAGUCCACGCCCUAAACGUGUCAACUAGCUGUUCGGUGCCCUUUGGAACCUUGGUAGCGCAGCUCUUGCGUGAGAUUGACCAACCUGGGAGUACGGUCGCAAGAUUAAACUCAAGGAAUUGACGGGGACCCGCACAAGCGGUGGAUGAUGUGGAUUAAUUCGAUGUACUUGAAGAGCCUUACCCUACCCUUGACAUGUCUGGAAUCCCGAAGAGAUUUGGGAGUGCUCGCAAGAGAACCGGAACACAGGUGCUGCGUGGCUGUCGUCAGCUCGUGUCGUGAGAUGUUGGGUUAAGUCCGCAACGAGCGCAACCCUUGUCGUGGAUUGCUACGAAAGGGCACUCCAUGAGACUGCCGGUGACAAACCGGAGGAAGGUGGGGAUGACGUCAAGUCCUCAUGGCCCUUAUGGGUAGGGCUUCACACGUCAUUACAAUGGUCGGGACAGAGGGUCGCCAACCGCGAGGGGGAGCCAAUCCCCGACCCGAUCGUAGUCCGGAUAGCGCAGUCACAACUCGACUGCAUUGAUCAGGUCAUGGCGUAAUCGCGGAUCAGCAUGUCAUGAUGAAUACGUUUGGGUCUGUACACACCGCCGUCACCAUAGGAGUGGGUUUUACCAGAAGUAGUUGGCUGCCCUAACCGUAAGGGCGAUUACCACGGUAGGAUUCAUGACUGGGGUGAAGUAUCAGCUAACGGGUAG